UACGUAGGGUGCGAGCGUUAAUCGGAAUUACUGGGCGUAAAGCGUGCGCAGGCGGUCUGUUAAGACAGAUGUGAAAUCCCCGGGCUUAACCUGGGAACUGCAUUUGUGACUGGCAGGCUAGAGUAUGGCAGAGGGGGGUAGAAUUCCACGGUGUAGCAGUGAAAUGCGUAGAGAUGUGGAGGAAUACCGAUGGCGAAGGCAGCCCCCUGGGCCAAUACUGACGCUCAUGCACGAAAGCGUGGGGAGCAAACAGGG
rnacentral:rRNA from 1 species